UACGUAGGCAGCGAGCGUUGUUCGGAUUUACUGGGCGUAAAGGGUGUGUAGGCGGUUGUUUAAGUUUGGUGUGAAAUCUCCCGGCUCAACUGGGAGGGUGCGCCGAAUACUGAAUGACUAGAGUGCGGGAGAGGUGAGUGGAAUUCCUGGUGUAGCGGUGAAAUGCGUAGAUAUCAGGAGGAACACCGGUGGUGUAGACGGCUCACUGGACCGUAACUGACGCUGAGACACGAAAGCGUGGGUAGCAAACAGG
rnacentral:rRNA from 1 species